CGUGACCACAAAGAACCUUCUGAGGGAGGAGAAGCCUGACUUCUUGGAGUUCCCUCCCUGGCUGGUGGCAGAUCAGUUGACACUGAUGGAUGUGGAGGAACUGCAAAAAAUUUAAAACCUUGUGCAGAAUGGACCAGCGGGAGAGGAGGAAACUGCUCACGGAGGGUGUCGUCCCCUUCCUGGGCAUGUACCUCUAUCACCUGAAGCU